rnacentral:tRNA from 1 species
GCUCUUAUGGUGUAAUGGUUAGGCACUUUGGACUUUGAAUCCAGCGAUCCGGGUUCAAAUCCCGGUAGGAGCU